GUCCUCAGAUUGGAUCCAGACACGACUGAACCCCAUGCGAGAGGACAAAGAAGAACCCUGAAGUACCUAAGAGUGCAUCGUUGAACAGCUCUGAGGAUGUUGCACUUCCACUUUUUUGACAAUGUGGCUGCUCUGCAUAGAAGCUUCAAAAGACCAAUACCGAAAUGUCAAUAAGUUCUCUCAAAACUGGAUGUGUCGCCUCCUCUUGAUGUGACGUCAUCUACAGAACUGGAGCUCAUUUCCCCGCAAAGACAGUAUGGAUGAAGACAAACUUUCUUCUCAUGUUGCAAAGUGGCCUGACUGUCUUUUGCUGAGAGUUGGUUGAAGGAAUGGAAACAGGAGGCUGUGGCCUUCAGCUUGUUUAGGAAAAGCACGGCUGUGCAAGGCCACAUCACGGCCGUGCAGAGCAGAUACACCACACAC